rnacentral:rRNA from 1 species
AUUGAACGCUGGCGGCAGGCCUAACACAUGCAAGUCGAACGGUAACAGGAAACAGCUUGCUGUUUCGCUGACGAGUGGCGGACGGGUGAGUAAUGUCUGGGAAACUGCCUGAUGGAGGGGGAUAACUACUGGAAACGGUAGCUAAUACCGCAUAACGUCGCAAGACCAAAGAGGGGGACCCUCGGGCCUCUUGCCAUCGGAUGUGCCCAGAUGGGAUUAGCUUGUUGGUGGGGUAACGGCUCACCAAGGCGACGAUCCCUAGCUGGUCUGAGAGGAUGACCAGCAACACUGGAACUGAGACACGGUCCAGACUCCUACGGGAGGCAGCAGUGGGGAAUAUUGCACAAUGGGCGCAAGCCUGAUGCAGCCAUGCCGCGUGUAUGAAGAAGGCCUUCGGGUUGUAAAGUACUUUCAGCGGGGAGGAAGGGAGUAAAGUUAAUACCUUUGCUCAUUGACGUUACCCGCAGAAGAAGCACCGGCCAACUCCGUG